rnacentral:misc_RNA from 1 species
GUUUCUUUGAUUUCAAUUAUGAACAUUAGAGGAUUGAAUUGAACAUGCAUAGCAUUGAAAUGACUAGUUAUGUGCUGUUGUAUAUCAAUGGCUGGCAUUUUAAAUUUUGAGAAUUAUGCUGCUUGUCCAAUUUAGAGCUAUGCACUUGCUUUUGGGUCUUGAAAGUUGGAAUGGAAAUGACAAUUACAUGAGAUAUAUUGUGACUUAUCUGCCAGAUAAUUGCAUGAGAAUGACAUUUGCUGAAGCUGAAAUAGAAUAUUGAAGAAUUGAAUGUGAAAUUGUUAAUCCUGAGUGAGGGGUCCCAUUUAGAGCUUGUCUGAAAUUGAGUUUGAAUUUUUUAUUUAUUUUUUUUGGGAAAAAUGUCAUUUCAAAUGCAGUUGAAAAAGGUGGUUUGAAAAAAGCUGUUUUGUUAUAUUGAAAUUCUUAUAACUCAUACAUGUCAAAUUUAAAUUAAAAAAUCAAAAUUAAAAUGUCUCUAAUAAACAUUUUUGUGAUGACGCAUUUCUCAACAACUUAAAUAGUAAACAUGGUAUUUGAGUUUCACAUCCUCUUCUGCUUUACUAACAGUUAGGCACUUUUUGAAUCAUUGUGUUUCUUCUUUAUGAACAGGAUGAAGUUGUCCACUGCAUUAAGCUUAUGUUCUUACUUUAAAUCUAGCACAUGGCAAUCUGACAUAUAAGUAAUGCACAACUUCAUCAAUCAACUUGAUUUUUUUUUCCCUCUCCUUGUUAUCUUUUUAUUGGGAGGAGCAAUCUCAAAAUGAAUUAUUUCAUCCAUUGAACAUUAUUUUCAGCGAUUCUAGGGGGCGCAUUGGGUGCAUGUCUUUGUGAGAGGGUCUGUAAGCUAUUUCACAAAGGAAAGGCAUGUCAGUUUUAAGCAAAAUGUAGAAGGCAGUGAUAAGUUGUGUCCAUAGAUUUUUGAUGGACUUGCGUCUGAGGGUAGAAUUAUUCAUAGCAUGCUCAUACACAGACCCACAACAUUUUUUUUUUAAAAUCCUCAACUAGUUUUGGAAUAAAACUAUUGUGGAACUAAAGUUUUAUUAAAUUGAAAACUUGGAGAUCAGCCUUAAAUUUGGUCAGUGUAAAUGUGAUUAUCCUUGGCCUUUGUGUUUGAAGUCUAUGAGGGCAUUGGAUCUGGUAUUAUUUGCAUCAAUGCACCAAAUAUUAUUUCUUGG